AGCAGCCGCGGUAAUUCCAGCUCCAAUAGCGUAUAUUAAAGUUGUUGCAGUUAAAAAAGCUCGUAGUUGAAUUUCGGGGUCAGUAGGUUGGUCGUGCCACUGGUAUGUACUGGUCUCACUGAUUCCUCCUUCCUGAUGAACCGUAAUGCCAUUAAUUUGGUGUUGCGGGGAAUCUGGACUGUUACUUUGAAAAAAUUAGAGUGUUUAAAGCAGGCUAACGCUUGAAUACAUUAGCAUGGAAUAAUGGAAUAGGACGUUCGAUCCUAUUUUGUUGGUUUCUAGGAUUGACGUAAUGAUUAAUAGGGAUAGUUGGGGGCAUUAGUAUUCAAUUGUCAGAGGUGAAAUUCUUGGAUUUAUUGAAGACUAACUACUGCGAAAGCAUUUGCCAAGGAUAGUUUUCUAUUAAUCAAGAACGAAAGUUAGGAAUCGAGACGAUCAGAUACCGUACGUAGUCUUAACCAUAAACUAUGCCGACUAGGGAUCGGAUAAUGUUAAUUUUUUAAUUGACUUCAUUCGGCGC
rnacentral:rRNA from 1 species